CCGCUAUAACUGUGAAAACCACUAUAUGAAAACAUCUAGAAACAUGAAAACCACUCUGCAUAAAAUAGCUAUAUAAACAUGAAAACCACUAUAUAUACACAAUUAUAUAAAUAUCGAAAACCACUAUGAAUUCUAACAAGAAAACAUCAAAAUUCUGCGAAAAAGACACCAUCUUCUCUCCAAAUGAACCCUAGAGUAUAGUCCGUGUAAUCAUCUUCUUCUCGUUAUUUGAAACGUAAACCACUAUUAGAAACGUAAACCACUACAAUGUCCAAGAAAAAAAUGCAAGACCAAUUAUAUUACGAAAAAUUAACGUAAUCCACUUUAAUAAUAACAUAAUCAACAACAAAGUUAUCGAAAUCCACAAAAAAAAUACGUAAAUCCACUACUUACACAACUAAAAAUAAGUACACCACCACCAACAAGGCCGACGAGGGUCGCUGACUCGCUGUAUCAAUAUGAUCAAGAAAAAAAUUAAUUUAUAAGAAUUAAUGAUCUUUUUCACAAUAUCAUUGUCAAAUAGGAACCUUCCCCACAAACCCUAAAACCAUGGAAUAAAGAUGAUUCAAUCGAAACAAAAAAAAAACAUUUACCUUUUUCUACCACCCAUAUAUAUCGUUCGUCAACGGUGAAGAGAGAGAAAAUAGUGGUGGGGGUUGGGGGCGGCGACGGGAGGGGGCUGGGCGGCUGGGGCGGGGGCUGGGCGGCGGUUGGGGCGGUGUCGGGAGGUGGUUGGGGCGUCGGCUGGGGCGUUGCCGGGUGGGGGUUGGGGCAGCGCCGGUGGGGAGAGAAGAAGAGGUGAACGAAAGUAGAUCUGC
rnacentral:lncRNA from 1 species